AGAUGGUGAAUAGAUCUUAUUCAAGAAAUGGAGUGCCAAUACAGAUUAUGGAAACCAUCUACAAGUAGUUAAUAUGAAGAGCAGGACUAGGAGACUUGAAACAAGGCAACAUAUGUGAUACCACAACCCUGCUUUUUUUUUCUGAUCUACUUUCUUGUCUAUUUUUUUAAAUACUUCCCCCCCAGCUCAGCUAUUUGAUAUCUGGUUGAAUUCAGAUAACAAUGGCCUCUUAAUCUGUAAUUGUAAAAUUAUUUAUUUAGCUUGCACUUUUUUUUUAAAUAGUUCAAGAUGUUGAGUAUUGAUUCAACUUUUAGCUUGGGAGAUAAAUAGCCAAAGCUGUAAAUAGACAGUCCAGGUAAUUGAAACUAGAGGUAAACAUCAUGGGAAGUCCAAUUAUAAGGCAAGUAUUUUUCCUUUAUAUCUUAUUUAACAUAAUUAGUCAAACUAUGUAAUACUUAUAGGCUUUACUAUUGUUUCCAUAGAAAAAACUUUUUUUAAAAUACCAUGAGAUAUUGUAUUUAAGAGAUAUUCUAGCUCAGUAUAUGAUGUUUCCAUAUAUCAUCAGCUUAACAAGCACACAUUCUCUGCUGCCAACAGUACCAAUUUGUCAACCAAGCAACAAAUAUUCCUUGGUAAUCUGCUAUCAGAUAACAGUUUUCUCGUUGGCAUUUUUAUGAAUUAAAGCAAUCAAGGCUUAAAUUUGUUUAGCAUAAUCCUGUACUACAUAUUAACAAAUGUUUGGUGUGUCUAGUUCAUCUCUCUCACUAUGAAGAUGGCUACACACUAUCAGCAAUGCACCCCUAUGAUAUACAAGUCACUCUGCCAAACAGUGUGUACACCUUUCUUGCAGUGGUAGUACUUUACUGUACUUCAAUCACUUCAGGAGUCUGGAUAUGUCAGCCCAAGGCCAAGGAGAUCAAGUUUGUGUCCAAGGUUACUUAGGUAAUUCUCUGAGAACAAUAGGUUUUUUUUUUAAAGACAGACACUACAUGUUGCUGAUCUGUGGGUUAGUGGCUCAAUCAUUGUGCACUGAUUCUCCACUGAUGCCUUGAUUGCCAUAAGUUUAUCUACUGAUCUACAGAUCAAGUGAGUUUUUCUCAAAUCAACUAGGGACUAAAUGGUCUAUUAAACAUGAGGUCAAGGAAAAAGGAUGAACAUUUCAAGGCUGCAGGAGGAACAUUAAGCUUCUCUCUCACUGUGAAAAGAUUCUACCGAUCUACAAAUGAUCAACAUGUUUUAUCUUAAGUUCAUCUGCCAUUUCUUCAAAUGGAGCCAUAGUCAGAAUAAGAUUCUUUUUGUUCUUCCUUAGGUUCAAAUGUAUCAGUUGUUUUUGUUGACAGAUAUCAAGGUACAGAAAUAAGAAUCUAAUUUAGAGUUUUUUAAAGCUUGAUUAGUCAUAAUAUUUGCACUAUUAUUUCCAAUAUGUGCCAGAGUGUCUGCUAAAUGUAACUAGUAUGAUUAAAAACAUGGUCAUUGCAAAGUCUAACAUAUGGACAAGUAGGAUGCUUGUGGCUUGAUUCAGUGAAAGAAUGUUGGACAAGCAGAAGUGUUAUGGAGUGGGUGUGUGUGUGUUUUUAUGGUGACUGUGGAAAGAGGUUAGCGAUUGGAUGUGAAUGAUGCAAAAGUGGCAUUGUCUUCACUUGGUCUUAGGGGAGACGACUCCAGAAUGUAAGACUGAAAGGUUGUGUUAUUGUAGUGAGUUAGAUUGUAAGAAAUUUUAUUACUUAAGUCUCUACUACAUUUAUUUCAUGUGAUCACAAGUAUUAUAAAUGUUAUAUUUAGUUUCGUUCACUAGGAAGUUGUUCAAGUUCUUAUUAGCUAAGAUAUAUUAUGCCUUCAACAGUUUAGUUGCCUACCAGCAGUUUGGUGCUACAAGUCAACAACAGUCAGACUAAAUUAAAUAAAGCCAUAUCUAUUUCUACAUGAUUUUGUUGCUACUAACCUGGUGUUACUAACAACUAACUUGAAAAGGGAGAGGGGAAUUAUCAUCUUAUUCAUGCUCUAACUCUUCAAAUUCUAUAGAAUUGCAGAGAACUGACAUGAAAUAAAACAUUAACAAAAUGUGUAUUAUAAUUGUCAUUUUUCCUUUACUUAGCAUUUUUUUGUCUCCUAGAUUUUCAUAAUAUUUUGUUGAAGUCAUUUCAGUUCUCAAUUAUUUUGUGCACUAAGUUACAAGAAAAAAUUCAAGCAAAAGAGGUCACUACACUAAGACUUUGUCUUCUCAUAAGAAUGGAUGGCUGCCUGGUCAUGUGAUAUGUGUGCUGGACUGUGUGUGGUCAUCUUGAUGCUCAUAUCUUGCCUAAUGACAUUUAUUCUGCUGGACAUUUGGUCAAGGAAGUAGAUUCUCUUCAGCUCUCAAGAAACAUUCAAAACAUGUCAAACAUUUGACAAGAAUAUCAAGCAAGUGCAGUGUACAUACCAACAUGAUGAAGAUGUAGACCAACAUGAUGAAGAUGUAGACCAACAUGAUAAAGAUGUAGACCAGCAUGAUGAAGAUGUAGACCAGCAUGAUGAAGAUGUAGACCAGCAUGAUGAAGAUGUAGACCAGCAUGAUGAAGAUGUAGACCAGCAUGAUGAAGAUGUAGACCAACAUGAAGAUGUAGACCAACAUGAAGAUGUAGGCUGACAUGAUGAAGAUGUAGACUGACAUGAAGAUGAAAUGUAAACCAAAAUAUUCAUCAAGAGAUGUAUGGAAUAAAAAGUGAACAUCUUGAGAGGGAAAACAAUUCCUAGAGGCAAAGACACAGACACAGUAGAUACAUAAGAGAUUGUUUCCUUUUCUACCAUCAUUUAGAGCCUUUUUUUGUGAGGGAACCUGCAUCUGAAAGAACUGAACAUUUCCCUAAUGCUACUUCAAAUUCAGAUCUUCUCCCAACCUCAGGCUGAGUACCCGUGGUCACCUACUUUAUGUUACAUUACCAUAGCACUACAGACAGUGGAAAACAAAUUAUAUGAAGGAGUGCAACCACCAUCAGAUAUUGUUGUCUUUACAGACUCCCAAUCCACUCUGCAAGCACUUAACAGCAGCACCUCAUCAGCCCAAGAGAGUUGACAACACUCAUUGUGAUAAUCCAUCAGAUGAUAUCAAAAUUAAAUAUCAAUAUCACACUACAGUGGAUCCCUGGACACAUUGGCAUCAUGGGAAAUGAAAAGGCAGAUAAGCUAUCAAAGGCAGGUUCAUCUAUGGAACAACCAGAUAGACCUGUUAACUACCUCACCCUAAGGUCAAUGUUAGUCAACAAUCACAAAGAGGAGUGGCUCAACCAAUGGGCAUCAGGAAACACAGACAGAGCCAUGUACAGAAAAAUGACUACGCCUAACAAACUGGACAGUAUUAACUUCCUCCCCCGCAAAGAACAAUCUACAAUCUUCCAACUAAGAACAGGACACACACCACUAUUAAAUUACCACCUGAAGAAAAUAAACUCCACACAACUACCCCUUUGCAGACACUGCGCCCACCCCUUUGAAACCGUAAACCAUAUCCUCUUUGAAUGCCCCUCCCUAACCCACCUUAGGCAGACCCUACUUCCACUACAGCCCAACAUAACCAACACCCUGUAUGGCAGUGCUGAACAACUGAAGAAAACAGCACACUUUUUUUCCUUGGCACAGUCUGCAAAAGAGCUCACAGCUCAGCAGCAAUAAAGCUGGCUAGAAGAAGAAAAAAAAGAGGUUACAUUACAAGAAGUGGUCGCAAAGUCAGAAAACCUAACAGAUGACAAUGAGUAGAACAAUCAUUUCUAAUAUAGGUACAAGUGAUGUACUUUGUAUUAACUAUUUGGGUGGAAUCACCAUAAUGGACUUGUAUCUUGUUCUAUAUUUAGGUAAAUCUUGUCAUUCAGUCCAGUCAUUGUUCUUUUUUUUUUAAAUAUUCCUUUUUUUCCCCUCAAUCUUCUUGUUGUUUCAGUGAAAUGUUUUUUAUCUUUUUUGUUUUGGAGGAGGGAGGGGCUGUGGUAUAUUAUUAUUAUUAUUGGAGUCACAACACCAAAGCCUUGCUACAUUAUGCUUUUAAUUCAAUUUAUUAUCUCUCCUGCUUUUGUGUGCUAUCAUAUUAAUGUUCAUUAGUGUCACAUCCAUGCACAAUUUGUUCUAUGCUUUUUAUAGUGUAAAUAGUGACUUGACAUUAUUUAGAUCAAUUAUAAUAUGUUAUAUUAUAUUUAAAAUAAAACUGUUAGCAUUUUCUAUGAUGUUAUUAAUAUGAAUGUGUUUGUGUGUUGCUAUGAAUGCAUUUUAAGUUUUAGUCUGAAAUCAUAAAUAAGAAAUUGUUUCAUAAACAAAGAUUAUAUUAAUAUUUAAUAUUGUCAGACUUCACUAUAGCAUUGAGUUCAUCCCCAUAGUCUAUUUAAAACUUUCAAAUACUAAUUCACUUUGUCUUAUCUAAUGGUGAUCAUGGGGGUAUCCACUAUCCAUAGUCUCUGGUAUGAACACUCACUGUCCUGGUUAGGGCUAGGAUGUAAUCUCUAUUUCUGAUGGAACACAUGUAAAACCAAGAAAACAAACAGUAGACCUAGACUUUAUUAACAGGUCAUGCAAGCAUUUUUUUAUAAUUGUGAACUGAUGCUCUCAGGGCUAUUUUUAUGUAUUUUUAUUUUUGCUACUUUUGUAGACUAGUGCUAAGCUGUAUGCUUAUACUUCCGCCUAUUAUUAUAUGGGUUAGGGCGAUGCUGUUUCCUGUACUGUUGACCAGAGUGUGUCAGUUUUAAUUAUUCUGUACUUUGAACUGCCUUUAAGUUUCAGAAUUUGUUGUUUUUUUUCUAUAUGUAAAGCUACUUUAUAUAUAUAGUUAUAUAUUAUGGUACAUUAUUUUUCUAAUUGAAACAACUGUCAAAAUAAUUGGCGGUUUUUUGUUUUAAAGUUUGUUUUAAAAUGAUGGCCACUUCUAAUGUUUAUGUACUAGAUCUUUUCCUAAUUUUUUUGUUUUUUUAUCUGCAGUGUUUUGUAACUGCUGCUUUGCUCAUUUGAAUUAAAGUAUCAUUUUGUUA